CCAUGCGCUCAAACCUGACGAGCGAAGCGGUCAGACCGGAGAUAAUAACUGCAUGGCUUUUCAACGAUAGUGACAACUGAGGAACACCAAGUGGCUGACACAGCGUGGUGGCUUUAUUGCUGCUGGACAGGUCACCCUGUGCAUCUCACCAGUACACUGACCAGACCAAGCUGGCUGGCCUGGAUCACAACCACCGUGUCCACAGUCCAGCCAGGAGAAAAGCUGAUCACACAAUUCAGUACAGCAAGGUGUACAACAAAAAGUCCAGGAAGUGGAGCUUGU